UGGGGAAUAUUGCACAAUGGGCGCAAGCCUGAUGCAGCCAUGCCGCGUGUAUGAAGAAGGCCUUCGGGUUGUAAAGUACUUUCAGCGGGGAGGAAGGGAGUAAAGUUAAUACCUUUGCUCAUUGACGUUACCCGCAGAAGAAGCACCGGCUAACUCCGUGCCAGCAGCCGCGGUAAUACGGAGGGUGCAAGCGUUAAUCGGAAUUACUGGGCGUAAAGCGCACGCAGGCGGUUUGUUAAGUCAGAUGUGAAAUCCCCGGGCUUAACCCGGGAAUUGCAUCUGAUACUGGUCAGCUAGAGUCUUGUAGAGGGGGGUAGAAUUCCAUGUGUAGCGGUGAAAUGCGUAGAGAUGUGGAGGGAUACCGGUGGCGAAGGCGGCCCCCUGGACAAAGACUGACGCUCAGGUGCGAAAGCGUGGGGAGCAAACAGG
rnacentral:rRNA from 1 species